UUCCGGUUGAUCCUGCCGGACCCCACUGCUAUCGGGAUAGGACUAAGACAUGCUAGUCGAGCGCGUCAGCACGACGCGCGGCACACAGCUCAGUAACACGUGGCUAAUCUGCCCUUGGGACGAGAACAACCCCGGGAAACUGGGGCUAAUUCUCGAUAGGUGAAGAACACUGGAAUGUGUCUUUACCCAAAUGGUUCAAGGUAAUGCUCUUUGAAUUGCCCAAGGAUGAGGCCGCGGCCGAUCAGGUUGUUGGUGAGGUAAUGGCUCACCAAGCCUUUUACCGGUGCGGGCCGUGGGAGCGGGAGCCCGGAGAUGGGUACUGAGACAAGGACCCAGGCCCUACGGGGCGCAGCAGUCGCGAAAACUUUGCAAUAGGCGAAAGCCUGACAGGGCUAUCCCGAGUGCCAUCCGCUGAGGAAGGCUUUUACCCAGUCUAGAACGUUGGGGGAAUAAGGAGAGGGCAAGUCUGGUGUCAGCCGCCGCGGUAAUACCAGCUCUCCGAGUGGUGUGGAUGUUUAUUGGGCCUAAAGCAUCCGUAGCUGGCUAGGUUAGUCCCUUGUUAAAUCCACCGAAUUAAUCGUUGGGUUGCGGGGGAUACUGCUUGGCUAGGGGACGAGAGAGGCAGACGGUAUUUCCGGGGUAGGGGUGAAAUCCUAUAAUCCCGGGAAGACCACCAGUGGCGAAGGCUGUCUGCUAGAACGCGCCCGACGGUGAGGGAUGAAAGCUGGGGGAGCGAACCGGAUUAGAUACCCGGGUAGUCCCAGCUGUAAACGAUGCAAACUAGGUGUUUGAACGGCCACGUGCCGUUCUAGUGCCGCAGGGAAGCUGUUAAGUUUGCCGCCUGGGGAGUACGAUCGCAAGAUUGAAACUUAAAGGAAUUGGCGGG
rnacentral:rRNA from 1 species